rnacentral:sRNA from 1 species
GCCAGGUGCGGUGGCUCAUGCCUGUAAUCCCAGCACUUUGGGAGGCUGAGGCAGGCGGAUCACCUAAGGACAGGAGUUCAAGACCAGCCUGGCCAACAUGAUGAAACCUUGUCUCUACUAAAAAUACAAAAAUUAGCUAGGCAUGGUGGUGGGCACCUGUAAUCCCAGCUAAUCAGGAGGCUGAGGCAGGAGAACAGCUUGAGCCCCUGAGGUGGAGGUUGCAGUGAGCCGAGAUCAUGCCGCUGCACUCCAGCCUGGGCAACAGAGUGAGACUCUGUCUCA